rnacentral:rRNA from 1 species
CCCUUAGAUGUCCGGGGCUGCACGCGCGCUACACUGAAGGAAUCAGCGUGCUAAAACCCUUGUCGAAAGGCAUUGGUAAACCCAUUAAAAUCCUACGUGAUUGGGAUCGGGAAUUGCAAUUAUUUCCCUUGAACGAGGAAUUCCCAGUAAGUGUGGGUCAUAAGCUCGCGUUGAUUACGUCCCUGCCCUUUGUACACACCGCCCGUCGCUGCCCGGGACUGAGCCGUUUCGAGAAAAGCGGGGACUGCUGCUGUCGGGGCUUUCGGGCCUUGGCUUCGGUGGAAACCGCUUUAAUCGCAGUGGCUUGAACCGGGCAAAAGUCGUAACA